rnacentral:rRNA from 1 species
UCCUCCCUCUGUCGGCGUGCUCAACACAUGCAACUCGAACGGAAAGGCCCUGCUUUUGUGGGGUGCUCGAGUGGCGAACGGGUGAGUAACACGUGAGUAACCUGCCCUUGACUUUGGGAUAACUUCAGGAAACUGGGGCUAAUACCGGAUAGGAGCUCCUGCUGCAUGGUGGGGGUUGGAAAGUUUCGGCGGUUGGGGAUGGACUCGCGGCUUAUCAGCUUGUUGGUGGGGUAGUGGCUUACCAAGGCUUUGACGGGUAGCCGGCCUGAGAGGGUGACCGGCCACAUUGGGACUGAGAUACGGCCCAGACUCCUACGGGAGGCAGCAGUGGGGAAGAUUGCACAAUGGGCGGAAGCCUGAUGCAGCAACGCCGCGUGCGGGAUGACGGCCUUCGGGUUGUAAACCGCUUUCGCCUGUGACGAAGCGUGAGUGACGGUAAUGGGUAAAGAAGCACCGGCUAACUACGUG